rnacentral:misc_RNA from 1 species
UCCCCGUUGCCGGGGCAGUCUGAUUAGAAAAAUUCAACUAAUCACAAGGGUUGCGCUCGUUAAUGGACUUAACCAAACAUCUCACGACACGAGCUGACGACGGCCAUGCAGCACCUGUCACCAAGUUCAAUAAAGCACUCUCGUCUUUCGACAAAAUUCUUGGGAUGUCAAACCCUGGUAAGGUUCUUCGUUUAUCAUCGAAUUAAAGAACAUGAUCCACCGCUUGUGCGGCUCCCCGUCAAUUCCUUUAUGUUUUAGCCUUGCGGCCGUACUCCACAGGCGGGAUACUUAACGCGUUAGCUUCGCUACUGAAGGGGUCGAUACCUCCAACAGCUAGUAUCCAUCGUUUACGGCGUGGACUAC